rnacentral:rRNA from 1 species
CCAAUAGCGUAUAUUAAAGUUGUUGCAGUUAAAAAGCUCGUAGUUGAAUUUCGGGAUCAAUGUUUCGGUCAUGCCGUUGGUAUGUACUGAGAUUAUUGAUUUCUCACCUUCUAAAGAACCGUAAUGCCAUUAAUUUGGUGUCACGGGGAAUUAGGACUGUUACCUUGAAAAAAUUAGAGUGUUUAAAGCAGGCUCACGCUUGAAUACAUUAGCAUGGAAUAAUGAAAUAGGACAUCCGAUUCUAUUUUGUUGGUUUCUAGGAUCGAUGUAAUGAUUAAUAGGGAUAGUUGGGGGCAUUAGUAUUCAAUUGUCAGAGGUGAAAUUCUUGGAUUUAUUGAAGACUAACUACUGCGAAAGCAUUUGCCAAGGAUGUUUUCAUUAAUCAAGAACGAAAGUUAGGGGAUCGAAGACGAUCAGAUACCGUCGUAGUCUUAACCAUAAACUAUGCCGACUAGGGAUCGGAUGAUGUUAAUUUUUUAAUGACUCAUUCGGCGCCUUACG